rnacentral:rRNA from 1 species
AUUGAACGCUGGCGGCAUGCCUUACACAUGCAAGUCGAACGGCAGCACGGGAGCAAUCCUGGUGGCGAGUGGCGAACGGGUGAGUAAUAUAUCGGAACGUGCCCAGUCGUGGGGGAUAACGCAGCGAAAGUUGUGCUAAUACCGCAUACGAUCUAUGGAUGAAAGCGGGGGAUCGCAAGACCUCGCGCGAUUGGAGCGGCCGAUAUCAGAUUAGGUUGUUGGUGAGGUAAAAGCUCACCAAGCCUGCGAUCUGUAGCUGGUCUGAGAGGACGACCAGCCACACUGGAACUGAGACACGGUCCAGACUCCUACGGGUGGCAG